rnacentral:rRNA from 1 species
CCUACGGGAGGCAGCAGUGAGGAAUAUUGGUCAAUGGCCGAGAGGCUGAACCAGCCAAGUCGCGUGAGGGCAGACGGUCCUAUGGAUUGUAAACCUCUUUUGUCGGGGAGCAAACGACGCCACGCGUGCCGUUCCGAGAGUACCCGAAGAAACAGCAUCGGCUAACUCCGUUCCAGCAGCCGCGGUACUACGGGGGAUUCGUGCUUUCUCCGGAUUUAUUGGGUUUAAGGGGUGCGCAGGCGGAAGAUCAAGUCAGUGGUAAAAUUUAGAGGCUCAACCUCUUCGAGCCGUUGAAACUGGUAGUCUUGAGGGAGCGAGAAGUAAGCGGAAUGCGUGGUGUAGCGGUGAAAUGCAUAGAUAUAACGCAGAACUCCGAUUGCGAAGGCAGCAUACCGGCGCUCAACUGACGCUCAUGCACGAAAGUGUGGGUAUCGAACAGGAUUAGAUACCCGAGUAGUC